rfam:Colinus virginianus strain Texas jcf7180006226993, whole genome shotgun sequence.
UACUGGGGCAGUACACCUGUCAAAGCGUAACGCAGGUGUCCUAAGGUGAGUUCAGGGAGUCCAGAAACCUCCUGUGGAGUAGAAGGGCAAAAGCUCGCUUGAUCUUGAUUUUCAGUACAAAUACGGACCGUGAAAGCGGGGCCUCAUGAUCCUUCUGACUUGUUGAGAG